UGAGUUUAACAUGCUCCUUCUAAUCUCAGGUCACUUCCUGCUGACAAAUCUUCUACUUGAGAAACUGAAAACCACUGCAGAAAAGACAGGAAUUGAGAGCCGCAUCGUGAAUCUAUCCUCAGUCGCUCACGUUGGGCCUUACAGUGAAGGAAUCAAGUUCGACAAACUCAAUGACAAGAAAGCGAUAUCAUCACUGAGAAUGGUCAUUUAACAGAUACACAGUGGUAGGUGUUUUGUCCCAGUCUCAAGCCGACAAUCCUUUUUGAUCAGUAUAUC